rnacentral:lncRNA from 12 species
GGGGAGCACAGGCUCAUUCUGUGUGGGGUCUGCCCUGUGCAGGGGAUGUCCCUGAGCAUCCUGACCCUGCUGUGUGUUCAUGUCAGCGCUGGUGCCACCAGCCCCGGCUGUUGGUACUCACCCCACUGCUGCACAGCUAAAGACACGUUUAUUAUCUUCAGAAAGGAGGAAGAGCUGGUGAAUCCCUGACUGGCCCCAAACCAGGUGACCUGGGAAGAGCAGAGGGAGAAGAUUGAGGGCCAUGGUUAUCCUUCAUCUUUUGGGGACACAGCAAUGACACCAGGUAACAACCUUGGGCUGUUGAUGGGGUGCAGAUCCCCACGCCUGGGAUG